UUUGAAAGUGACCCCCUCACUGCCGCGGACCGCUCACAGCUGUCGGGAACCAUGACACAAGAUGACGGAUACGGUUGUCGUAGAGGGACAAGUCAGACUUCGAGAGGGGAAAAAGUGGAAAAACAGAUGGGUGCUUCUUCGGAAACCUUCGCCGGUUGCAGACUGCCUGACCUUGCUGGUGUAUAAGGAGCGUGGAGAGAAGAGUAAAGGACAGCGGGAGAGGAAUCAGGCCACGCUGAGGGAUAUCUGUGGACUGGAGGCACUUCAGGGGUUUGAUGGAAUGAAUUACGUGCUCAGUCUGCUCUGCCUGAGCCAGUCUGUCAUGCUGGGCUUCGACAACAAAGUGUCUCUUCUGGCCUGGGAUGCCCGUAUCCGCU
rnacentral:lncRNA from 1 species